AUUGAACGCUGGCGGAAUGCUUUACACAUGCAAGUCGAACGGUAGAGGGGGCAACCCCUCGAGAGUGGCGAACGGGUGAGUAAUAUAUCGGAACGUGCCCAGUCGUGGGGGAUAAUGUAGCGAAAGUUACGCUAAUACCGCAUACGAUCUAAGGAUGAAAGCGGGGGAUCGCAAGACCUCGCGCGAUUGGAGCGGCCGAUAUCAGAUUAGGUAGUUGGUGGGGUAAAGGCUCACCAAGCCAACGAUCUGUAGCUGGUCUGAGAGGACGACCAGCCACACGGGAACUGAGACACGGUCCAGACUCCUACGGGAGGCAGCAGUGGGGAAUUUUGGACAAUGGACGCAAGUCUGAUCCAGCCAUUCCGCGUGCAGGAUGAAGGCCCUCGGGUUGUAAACUGCUUUUGUACGGAACGAAAAGGUCUCUCUUAAUACGGGGGGCUCAUGACGGUACCGUAAGAAUAAGCACCGGCUAACUACGUGCCAGCAGCAGCCGCCG
rnacentral:rRNA from 1 species